rnacentral:lncRNA from 1 species
AUAUGAUACGUGCUGCUAGUAAGUUAACCAAGGAUGAAUCUGAUAUCGAUUUUGAAAUCGAAGCCCAAAUUUGAAAGUUAUUAUAUUAUCAAUUUUAGGGAUUAAAUUGAAAUAAAAACAAAACUUGAAGAAUUAUUGCAUAGAUGAAAUUGAAAUUUUUUAUAACUUCAAUAAGCUAUUGGUUGAUAUUUUGAAUGGAUAAUUGAAUUAAAUUAUGGUUUAGAUCAAGAAUUACCACAAUGGGAGGAUUCUGCUGACUAGUCCUUGACAUCUGAAUCGUUACUGUUUUCUCAGGUAAGUUCCUACAAUAUAAAUAAUUUAAAUUUUUUUGAGUUAUAUUUGAAUCUAUAUUAAUGUUUUAUUGAAAAUUUGGGUUGGUUGAAAUAAUAUACAAAUUUCGGUUUGAACUUAGUUGAAAUGAAAUGUUACUGAAUGAAUUGUUGAGAUAAUCUCAAUGAACGGAGUAAAAGUAUCAUAUAUGAGGUUAUGGGUUGAUGCCCAAUGAUUCCGAACUCCAACAUUUGUUGUGGACUCGAAGAGACAUGUUAACAGGUUUAGCUUAGACGAGUAACAUGAUGUCAUUUUAUAGGUUUAGCCCGGACAGGUAACCUUACAUGUAUAUUAAGCCUUGGUUAGGCUAUGUGUUUGUAGGUUUAUCCCGAAUGGGUAACCUAACACUAUUGUUUACGACUAGCUCGAACAAAAUUUUGAUAUUAUUUUCACCUGUGUAUUGAGUUCUUUUACGAUGUUUCAUAAGGUAAUAAUAAAAGAUGAAAAAGAUGAAACUAUGAUAUUGAUGGUGGGAAAAGAUGAUCAUGAUAUGGAUUUAAGAUGCAAAAUGACUUAUGCUUGAGAUUUGGCUACUUGAAAAUGUAUAUGUGGUUAUGAACUAAAUCUCAUUUGGUUGAUGUUGUUGUGUAUGCCAUGAUAGGUGAAAUUGUUGCAUAUUGAAUUAUAUUUGUUAAAUAAAUAAUGUAAGCUAUUGGUUUAUAAUAUAUGAGCUUACUGAGUAUUUAUAAUACUUACUCGUUGUUACUACUUUCUCUGUAGAUUUUGGACGUUCGAAAUGUUUCGAUCAGAUCAACGAGAAGCACACACCUACCGUCUCUCGAUUUAGUAGACUUUUGAAUGUUCAAGCUUGGUUAUUUGUAGCAUAUACAUAGGAAGGUUAAAUGCUUGUAAUGUAAAGUAUGUGCUUAUGUUUUGGCAUUGUUGAGCUUGGAUAUAUAUGAACAUGUGCAUAUGGUAACUUAGGUAAAUGUUGAAUGGUAUUUGCAAAUAUGAAUGGCAAGCUUAAGUAAUGACAUAUAUAUAUGUUUUGGUUUA